rnacentral:rRNA from 1 species
AGUGAACGCUGGCGGCAGGCCUAAUACAUGCAAGUCGAACGGCAGCACAGUGGAGCUUGCUCCAUGGGUGGCGAGUGGCGGACGGGUGAGGAAUACAUGGGAAUCUGCCCAGCCGUGGGGGAUAACGUAUGGAAACGUACGCUAAUACCGCAUAUGCCCUGAGGGGGAAAGCGGGGGAUCCGCAAGGACCUCGCGUUUUCGGAGCGGCCGAUAUCGGAUUAGCUAGUAGGUGGGGUAAAGGCCUACCUAGGCGACGAUCCGUAGCUGGUCUGAGAGGACGACCAGCCACACUGGAACUGAGACACGGUCCAGACUCCUACGGGAGGCAGCAGUGGGGAAUUUUGGACAAUGGGCGAAAGCCUGAUCCAGCCAUGCCGCGUGAGUGAAGAAGGCCUCGGUUGUAAGACUCUUCUAGCCGGAAGAAAGACGCGAUGGGUGGAAGUAACCUAGUAGUGGAGUGACGGUACCGGGAA